GCUUAAAGAGGGGUUAAUGUCCUAUCAGCUAGUUGGUGGGGUAAUGGCCUACCAAGGCAAAGACGGGUAGCCGGCUUGAGAGGGUGGUCGGCCACACUGGGACUGAGACACUGCCCAGACUCCUACGGGAGGCUGCAGUCGAGAAUCUUUCGCAAUGCCCGAAAGGGUGACGAAGCGACGCCGCGUGUGGGAAGAAGGCCUUCGGGUUGUAAACCACUGUCGGGAGUUAGGAAAUGCAAGAGCGUUAAUAGCGCACUUGCUUGACUAAGGCUCCAGAGGAAGCCACGGCUAACUCUGUGCCAGCAGCCGCGGUAAUACAGAGGCGGCAAGCGUUGUUCGGAAUUAUUGGGCGUAAAGAGCACGUAGGCGGCCUUGCAAGUCAGUUGUGAAAGCCUUCCGCUUAACGGAAGAACGGCAUCUGAUACUACAGGGCUUGAGUACGGGAGGG
rnacentral:rRNA from 1 species